rnacentral:hammerhead_ribozyme from 1 species
AUCCAGAUGAUAAGUCCCAAAUCAGACGAAACACGCGUCCUGGAU